UUCCCUACGGGGGGCAGCAGUGGGGAAUAUUGCACAAUGGGGGAAACCCUGAUGCAGCGACGCCGCGUGAGUGAAGAAGCGUUUCGGCGCGUAAAGCUCUGUCAGCGGGGAAGAAACACGGUUCGCGAGAGCCGCGGACGGUACCCGACCAAGAAGCCCCGGCUAACUACGUGCCAGCAGCCGCGGUAAUACGGAGGAUGCGAGCGUUAUCCGGAUUUAUUGGGUUUAAAGGGUGCGCAGGCGGCCUGUUAAGUCAGCGGUAAAAGCCCGGGGCUCAACCCCGGCGAGCCGUUGAAACUGGCGGG
rnacentral:rRNA from 1 species